UGUAUUUUUAUUAGAGACCAU
rnacentral:piRNA from 1 species